UACGAAGGGGGCUAGCGUUGCUCGGAAUCACUGGGCGUAAAGGGUGCGUAGGCGGGUUUUUAAGUCAGGGGUGAAAUCCUGGAGCUCAACUCCAGAACUGCCUUUGAUACUGAAGAUCUUGAGUCCGGGAGAGGUGAGUGGAACUGCGAGUGUAGAGGUGAAAUUCGUAGAUAUUCGCAAGAACACCGGUGGCGCAAGCGGCUUGCUGGGCUGUAACUGACACUGAGGAACGAAAGCUAGGGUAGCGAAUGGG
rnacentral:rRNA from 1 species